rnacentral:lncRNA from 1 species
ACCGAAAACCCAGCGUUUCCUUCAACUCUGAGUCAACUAACUCUGAGUUUUCACUAAACCCGCUUUCUAAAACAGGGCCCUGUUCUCACACUGCAAGAGCAGGGUGUCUGCGGAAAGCUCAGUAUCUUGAUUAUUGAUCAGUGCCUUCAAAUCUUUGGUGUGACUUACUAUCAUAUAUGGGCAUACAAAUUUAUAGGGGAAGGCUGACCCAAUGACCUCAUUUCAAGAUGGCUGCUACCUACAUUCCGGUUAGAGUUGUAAGGCAUAAACGAAAUAAACAUGGAAUACGUUGAUAAACACCGAAAGCUGUGACUCCAAACUUCUCCAAACUUCAAACAUCUUAUGAGGAAUACCAACAUGAAUUGGUGCUUGAGGCAGAAAUAAUGCAGUGCGGCUUGAGUCACUGCUACUCCCUCCCUCCCCUCAGACUGACCAUCAGAUGCAGAAACUGAUCUUGACUCAGAAAAGGACCUGAGCCCUAGGACCAUGCCUCAGGACUACCUGGUAUGAUGACUCCUUGCUGUCCCCAGUCCACCUGGCCAUGCUGCUGCUCCAGUUUCAACUGUUCUGCCUGCGGCUAUGGAACCCUGACCUGUUCACCGGACGUGCUUGUUGCACCCUCGACAACUACUAUGAUUAUUAUUAUUUGACCAUGCUGGUCAUUUAUGAACAUUUUAACAUCUUGACCAUGUUCUGUUAUAAUAUCCACCCUGCACAGCCAGAAGAGGACUGGCCAUCCC